UGUGAGACGAGUGUGUGUGUUUGUGGAAGAAGACACCGACAAGCUAUCCUAAGAAGAAAAGGCGGAGAGAAGAUGAGAGAGAGAGAGGCGAUAAGGGCGCAGGGUUUCCUGUGGCUGUGCCUCUAACCUGCCAACAGGAAGUGCAGCACAAUCGCCGUGACGUAAACAGAACACUCCUGGGAUUAAUCCGGGCUCCGCCCCCUCCAGGUGUGCUGGAGCAUGGAAACAUCUAAAACAUGCAGGACAGCGGCUCUCGAGCACCAGGAUUGGAGAACCCUGUUCUGGAUAUAGGAUUUUUAA